rfam:Balneola sp. EhC07 strain EhC08 A6_Contig8, whole genome shotgun sequence.
GAAGGUGAUUCUAGCGCAAGGGUCCCACCCGUUCCCAUCCCGAACACGGACGUUAAGCCUUGCAGCGCCGAUGGUACUGCACUCGUGGUAGAGUAGGUCAUCGCCUUCU